ACUCCUACGGGAGGCAGCAGUGGGAAUAUUGGACAAUGGGCACCGUACUCCANCCGAUGCGCGUGUGUGAAGAAGGCCUGAGGGUUGUAAAGCACUUUUAGUGGGGAGGAAAGUUAACAGGUUAAGAGCUAGUUAAGUUGACGUUACCACCAUCAAUCAAGCACCGGCUAACUCCUCGCCAGCCAGCCAGCCGGUAAUAACGGGGUGGCAGGGCAGUUAAUACGGAGUUAAUUGGGACGGUUAAAGGGUUGGCCGUAAGGGUUUGGCUUUAAUUUGAAAUGUUCAUUAGGUGGGCAAAUUACCUGGGGCAUCCAAGCCUCGGAAAUCGAGCAGGGAUCGAUACUGAAGAUACUAGAGUAUAGUAGAGGGUAGUGGAUUUCCGGUGUAGCGGUGAAAUGCGUAGAGAUCGGAAGGAACACCAGUGGCGAAGGCGGCUACCUGGACUAUACUGACACUGAGGCACGAAAGCGUGGGUAGCAAACAGGAUUAGAUACCCU
rnacentral:rRNA from 1 species